AAAUUGAAGAGUUUGAUCAUGGCUCAGAUUGAACGCUGGCGGCAGGCCUAACACAUGCAAGUCGAACGGUAACAGGAAGCAGCUUGCUGCUUUGCUGACGAGUGGCGGACGGGUGAGUAAUGUCUGGGAAACUGCCUGAUGGAGGGGGAUAACUACUGGAAACGGUGGCUAAUACCGCAUAACGUCGCAAGACCAAAGAGGGGGACCUUCGGACCUCUUGCCAUCAGAUGUGCCCAGAUGGGAUUAGCUGGUUGGUGAGGUAACGGCUCACCAAGGCGACGAUCCCUAGCUGGUCUGAGAGGAUGACCAGCCACACUGGAACUGAGACACGGUCCAGACUCCUACGGGAGGCAGCAGUGGGGAAUAUUGCACAAUGGGCGCAAGCCUGAUGCAGCCAUGCCGCGUGUAUGAAGAAGGCCUUCGGGUUGUAAAGUACUUUCAGCGGGGAGGAAGGUGUUGUGGUUAAUAACCGCAGCAAUUGACGUUACCCGCAGAAGAAGCACCGGCUAACUCCGUGCCAGCAGCCGCGGUAAUACGGAGGGUGCAAGCGUUAAUCGGAAUUACUGGGCGUAAAGCGCACGCAGGCGGUCUGUCAAGUCGGAUGUGAAAUCCCCGGGCUCAACCUGGGAACUGCAUUCGAAACUGGCAGGCUUGAGUCUUGUAGAGGGGGGU
rnacentral:rRNA from 1 species